rnacentral:rRNA from 1 species
UACGGAGGGAGCUAGCGUUGUUCGGAAUUACUGGGCGUAAAGCGCACGUAGGCGGCUUUGUAAGUUAGAGGUGAAAGCCCGGGGCUCAACUCCGGAAUUGCCUUUAAGACUGCAUCGCUUGAAUCCGGGAGAGGUGAGUGGAAUUCCCGGUGUAGCAGUGAAAUGCGUAGAGAUCGGGAGGAACACCAGUGGCGAAGGCGGCCUUCUGGACCAGUACUGACGCUCAUGCACGAAAGCGUGGGGAGCAAACAGG